rnacentral:sRNA from 1 species
CUCUUCAACUUGCUGCGGACAGAUAAAGUGAACAUGGGUGUCGAUACCACCAGCAGUGAUGAUUUUCCCUUCUGCAGCAAUGAUGUCUGUAUUGGAUCCAAUCACCAGAGCUGGGUUGACCUCAUCCAUCACAUCAGGAUUACCAGCUUUUCCAAUCCCCACGAUGACCCCGUCUUUGACUCCAAUAUCGGCUUUGAAUAUUCCACUCCAGUCAAUGACUAACGCAUUCACCAAAACCAAAUCUGCACACUCAUCGUCUGCACGCCCAGCAGCUUGUCCGAUUCCAUCACGCAG